rnacentral:rRNA from 1 species
GCUUGUCUCAAAGAUUAAGCCAUGCAUGUCUUAGUGUAAAUAACUCUUAUGAAACUGCGAAUGGCUCAUUAAAUCAGUUAUCAAAUACGUGAUGGUCGCCUACUACAUGGAUAACCGUAGUAAUUCUAGAGCUAAUACAUGCACAAAGGCCCAUUCACGUGGGUUGUGAUUAUUAGAUUGAAACCAAUGCAGCUUCGGCUGGUAUUGUGUUGAGUCAUAAUAACUGUGCGGAUCGCUUUUUAAGCGAUAAAUCGAUUGAGUUUCUGCCCUAUCAGCUUUGGAUGGUAGGAUAUGGGCCUACCAUGGCGUUAACGGGUAACGGGGAAUUAGGGUUUGAUUCCGGAGAGGGAGCCUUAGAAACGGCUACCACAUCCAAGGAAGGC